GCGAAGGGGACAAAGGAAGGCCGUGUCCCUCCUCCUGACCUCUCGCUUCCUGCCUCUUCGCCCCGCCCACUUCCAGGUCAUUGCACUCGCCGCUCGCUGCAGAACACAGGUCUGGCGUCUCACCUGCAGUCGAGGCGAUUAUCCAGGGUGGUCUAUCGCUGCCGACCGGAGCAUAGCCUGCUGCACGGGGGAUACGCGGUGGCUGCCUUCCCCUGCCGCAGUGACUCUCUUCACCCCUCUCCCUCUUUGGGCGGAUGCCGGUUCUACCAAGCUGACCACCAGAACACACGAACGCUAAGCUAAGUAGGACCAUUGCUGUUUAAUUAUGGUCUUUUAGCCACAGCUCCUGCUACCGCUGCUACUACUCUUAGCCACGGCUACUGCUACCGCUGCUACUACUCUUAGCCACGGCUAUUGCUGCCGCUGCUACCACUGCUACUACUGUUACAGCGGCUACCGCUGCUUCGCUGUUUCGCUGCUGCUGCUGCUUCGCCGGCUUGGACUGGGCUUCCUGUCGGCUGCGUGUGUAUCAACCUGCUUCCUGCUGGAUGUGUGUGGCUGCCGCUCGUGCUGACCGGGCUCCCGAUCAGUGGGACGCCACGAGCUCCAUCAGGACUUUCAGCCACCCAUCUGGACUGGGCUGUGUGUGUAUGUGCGUGUGUAUGUCUGAAGGCCGACGGUGGUGGUGGUAGUUUCCCUGGGUGGUGGUGAUCCCCUGUGUGCUGUGUGACCCCUGUUCAAGAUUUGCUUUGUGUGCACUUAACGUUUUUGCUGUGUGUUUGGGGUGCUCUCCCUUUUCUUUUUGGACUUCACUCCCCAUUGUCACCCCCUCCUCCAGCCGGUAAGCCUCAGUCUGUAUCCCCUAGUUGGGCUCUCUUCUCCUUUUUUGGUUAUUGUG